AACCAGCACCUCAAGUGGUCAGGAUGAUUAUUGGGCCUAAAGCAUCCGUAGCCGGCUCUGUAAGUUUUCGGUUAAAUCUGUACGCUUAACGUACAGGCUGCCGGGAAUACUGCAGAGCUAGGUAGUGGGAGAGGUAGACGGUACUCGGUAGGAAGGGGUAAAAUCCUUUGAUCUAUUGAUGACCACCUGUGGCGAAGGCGGUCUACCAGAACACGUACGACGGCGAGGGAUGAAAGCUGGGGGAGCAAACCGGAUUAGAUACCCGGGUAGUCCCAGCUAUAAACUAUGCAAACUCAGUGAUGCAUUGGCUUGUGGCCAAUGCAGUGCUGCAGGGAAGCCGUUAAGUUUGCCGCCUGGGAAGUACGUACGCAAGUAUGAAACUUAAAGGAAUUGGCGGGGGAGCACCACAAGGGGUGAAGCCUGCGGUUCAAUUGGAGUCAACGCCAGAAAUCUUACCCGGAGAGACAGCAGAAUGAAGGUCAAGCUGAAGACUUUACCAGACAAGCUGAGAGGUGGUGCAUGGCCGUCGCCAGCUCGUGCCGUGAGAUGUCCUGUUAAGUCAGGUAACGAGCGAGAUCCCUGCCUCUAGUUGCCACCAUUACUCCCAGGAGUAGUGGGGCGAAUUAGCGGGACCGCCGCAGUUAAUGCGGAGGAAGGAAGGGGCCACGGCAGGUCAGUAUGCCCCGAAACUCUGGGGCCACACGCGGGCUGCAAUGGUAACGACAAUGGGUUUCGAAUUCGAAAGGAUGAGGUAAUCCUCAAACGUUACCACAGUUAUGACUGAGGGCUGCAACUCGCCCUCACGAAUAUGGAAUCCCUAGUAACUGCGUGUCACUAUCGCGCGGUGAAUACGUCCCUGCUCCU
rnacentral:rRNA from 1 species